CUCCGCCCAUUGGAUUCUUCCCCAGCGUGCUGCGGGGCCGCCCGUCUCCCCAGAGAUCUCUGCGUGACCUCCAAGCAUGCAUUCUUCUCCAGCCGCCCAAACCUUCCUCUCACAGUGAGCCUCGAGGCCCCACUGCCGCCCUGUUCCCACGACUCCUCUGCUCAGACGGCCAGCAUGAAGUUCAACCCCUUCGUGACCUCGGACCGCAGCAAAAACCGCAAACGCCACUUCAAUGCCCCCUCGCACGUGCGCAGGAAGAUCAUGUCUUCCCCGCUCUCCAAGGAGCUGCGGCAGAAGUACAACGUCCGCUCCAUGCCCAUCCGCAAGGACGACGAGGUCCAGGUGGUUCGAGGACACUACAAAGGUCAGCAAAUAGGCAAGGUAGUCCAGGUGUACAGAAAAAAGUAUGUCAUCUACAUCGAGCGAGUGCAGCGUGAGAAGGCUAAUGGUACAACUGUUCAUGUGGGCAUUCACCCCAGCAAGGUAGUUAUCACCAGGCUAAAACUGGACAAAGACCGGAAAAAAAUUCUUGAACGCAAAGCCAAAUCUCGACAAGUUGGAAAAGAGAAAGGCAAAUAUAAGGAAGAACUUAUUGAGAAAAUGCAGGAGUGAAUAUAACCUGUUGUGCAACCACGGUUUAACUGUAGAUUUUUAGUCUGAGUUAUCAUCACCAUGCUGGUAACCUGUUCAGUUUGCUGCUAUCUCUUGUCACGAAGAGAAUUCCUCUAGAUGCAAAAUCAACUCCAAACCCAGAACACCUCUGACUCGCCUGUGUUGGCCAUCAGCUGCCUUAAACAUUCACACCACGUUUGAAUAUCUCCUUCUACAAUGCAGUAUUUUCUCCUGUCACCUUUUUUACAUUUUGAUGAAUUAUGUGCCUACUUAACCUAAACUGUGCUGGCUCUAUAAAAUGUCUAUGCACUCUUCUGAGAUAGGAGGCGCUGUACUUCUGAGAAACGUGCUGCUCUCUCCUUGGAGCCUGUGCAUUUGGAGACCACUCCUGCCUGGUCACAACAUGGGAAUCUGCGAAGUGUUUAAAAACUGUUGCAAGACCGGUAGAGUCAAGUGGGGCAGUCCGUAGGGGAGCACGUUCAGAGGGAAUAUCUGUGCUAACAGAAUUACACCAAAGUAUAUUUUCAGGACGACUUUCUUAUUUCUGCCAUCUAUUGGAAUAAAUUAUUUUUCUGCUUUCUGUGGAAA